UCUAUUUAUUUUUUGUGUGUGACGGCUGUGUGGGUAGCAGAGGAACCGCUGCCGUUGGCGCCACUUUCAAAUCCUCCACUGACAGAAUGAGAGCCCGUCUUCAAAUACAUUUACGCACCAUUUCUCUUUUUCAGAAAUACUGUAAAACCAGGAUUAUCUUAACAUUAUUUCUCCUUUGGAUAUUCUUUUUCUUCCGAAGUGUUAAAGCGUGACCCUCUGCAGGGCUGCAGGUAAGAUGCUGUUUUACACUCUUAGUAUAAAAAUACACAUUUGGUUCAGUGGAGAUGCAUUAAAAUUGGGAUGUGAGUAUUUUAUCAAAUCACUUUCUAUUUUACAUCAAGUUCAAAAAGCUGAAAGUAUCUUAAACUCAGACAUCUGGCUGAUGUUUAUAUUUUCUUUAUUUUUGGUGAAAGACGCCUUUUAAAAGCUGCAUGUAAAUGUCGUUUUUUAUUUUCUAUCUUUAUUUACAUUGGAGUAGGUAGCAUGUUAGAACUUAGCCCCACUGCUGUGUGCUGUUAGUGGUUUGCCUCUAAGGAUAUAGUAAAGCACAGUACAGUCAUACUUCUUAUUUUAUUUCAGUUGCUUAAAUAAUCUUUUAUUUGAUUUAAUUUUUUGUAGUAUGUUUCAGGUGGAAAUCAUCCGAAAAUAAAAUGUGUGGAUUAUUUUAUCAUUAAAUACUUUGUUGUGAAACAUUUUUAAUGCUAUUUUUCUUCAAUAAUAUGUGAGCUAUAUUUACCCCUACCUUCUACUUCUACUUCCUCUUUUUCUCCACUUCCUCCACAUUUUCUCUGUUUUUAAAACAAAAACAAAAACGUACAGAUGAACGGAACAAAAAAUGAAGUUGCAUUUGGCCGUCUUCUUCAGAGAAAGGUCACAUACAUUUCAGUUUUGUCUCUGCCCUCCCGCCCCCGUGGAUAUGCACAGCCUGAGUCAUGGCCUCGGUGUGUCCAGGGUGCGCUCUAGCAGCAUAUCAUGUUUUGCAGAUGUGCUGAAUCGCUUCAAAUCAUUAUGUGCUGCCACUGUGAGCCCUGGGAUCCUCAGCAUUACACUGCUGCUAGUCCAUUUUCCUCCAGCUUAGACUUUGAUUGCAAUAAUUUCUGUUACUUGUCUUAAAACUAUAAGCCACAUGCUCCGUCCAUGUGGGUGGAUGCAUGAGUUGCUUUCCUGUUGUCUGUGAGCAGCUGGAUGCAUCUCAUUAUCUGAGUAUCACUGACGUGUGGUUUAUUUUUCUGUCAAGAUCUGUAAAAAGAAAAGAAUUGCACUGACAUGAAUAGUGAGCACAAACUCACAUUAAACUCUGUGUAAGUCAGGCUGAAAUGCUUUUGUGUCCACAAUGUUUUAGUCUCCUGACAACAAACUAAUUGCACCAGUGAGCUGAAAGCAGCAUUUCCUACUUAUAGAGAACAUAAUGAGGUUAGAAAAUUAGGGCGAAUGAUUUAGAUAAUUGCCUAAUUUAGGGUCGACAGCUUAGCCACGUCUGUUUAAAAAAAGAAACUUUUUUUUAGGUUUUUCACUCAUAACUAAUAUGUUGAUUUUAUGUUAAUGUUUGUUAGGAACUAGACUCCAGCCACCGUUAUCAUUCUGAAGGUUUUUACUAAAAUAAGGGAACAAUGUGUUUUAUCCACAUCAUGUAAAAUGAAUUUGUUUAUGAAUAACUGUUUAAGGAACUUUGGAACAAACACACAGCUGACCAGGAGUGCCUGCAUGUUUCAUUGUUGCAUUUGUUUAUAUUUUGUUGCUGUUUUUCUUCUUUUCAGUAGGUGCUCGUGUCAAAGCCUGCCAGUCUGUCGCCCUGAGUGGAAUCACUCAUAUCAAAUAUAUUCUCUUCCCUCCACAGAUCACUGAUCCAUCCAAAGCUGCUGUCAUAAAUAACCUGAGAGGUGUUUGCAUUUAAAUCUCUGCAGCUCUGUUAAACUGUUCUUUAUAUUUCAGAUCAGUAUGUGGGAGGCAGAUCACUGCAUGCUGAAAAUAAGCUGCAUUACCUGUAGUGCUCGGAUUUAUUCUUUACUUGUUUUUCCAUAAAUGCAUGUUUGUACGUGUGUGUGUUGGAGCUCACAUUCAGUGCAUCUGGCUGUAGCAGCACAUCAUUACUGGUAUUUCUUUUCACUGCAUUACCAGUAUGUUAUGUGCUGCUUCAGUCAGACACACAUCACUACACUGCUGUGAUUAUCAGUGGCUUAAAAAAAUAAAUAAAUAUAUAUAUAUAUAUAUAUAUAUAUUAUUGUUUAUAUUGUUAUAAAUAAACAGCACUGCGGUUUAAUGUGUUUAAGAAUUCCCAGUGGAUGAACAUAAUGGUCUGUGGGUCGAUUAUGACUGUUACACAUUAAUAAAAGGUCAGUGUUUGAAAAA